UACGUAGGGAGCAAGCGUUGUCCGGAAUCAUUGGGCGUAAAGCGCACGUAGGCGGAUUGCUAAGUCAGGGGUGAAAUCCUGGAGCUCAACUCCAGAACUGCCCUUGAUACUGGCGGUCUCGAGUCCGGGAGAGGUGAGUGGAACUGCGAGUGUAGAGGUGAAAUUCGUAGAUAUUCGCAAGAACACCAGUGGCGAAGGCGGCUCACUGGCCCGGUACUGACGCUGAGGUGCGAAAGCGUGGGGAGCAAACAGGG
rnacentral:rRNA from 1 species